rnacentral:rRNA from 1 species
GAUGAACGCUGGCGGCGUGCCUAAUACAUGCAAGUCGAGCGAACAGACGAGGAGCUUGCUCCUCUGACGUUAGCGGCGGACGGGUGUGUAACACGUGGAUACCCUACCUAUAAGACUGGGAUCACUUCGGGAAACCGGCGCUUAUACCGGAUAAUAUAUUGAACCGCAUGGGUCAUUAGUGAAUGUCGGUUUUUCUGUAAGUUAUCGAUGGAUCUCCGCCGGUUUAGGUGGUUGUGAAGGUCAAGGGUUUCCAAGGCAACGAUGCGUAGCCGACCUGAGGGGGUGGUCGGCCGCACUGGAAGUGAGACAGGGUCCAGAGGCCUACGGGAGGGGCCAGGAGGGAAUCGGGCGGAAGGGGCGAAAACCAUACGGAGCAACGCCGCGUGAGUAAUGAGGGUCGUCGGGUCGUAAAACUCUGUUAUUAGGGAGGAACAAAUGUGUAAGUAACAAUGAACGUCAUGACGGUACCUAGUCAGAAAGGCACGGCUAACUACGUG